AGUCUGAGGGAGUUUUCAGAAUGUAGACCCAUCCUCAGACUAUUGUUCAUCUUUGCAUUGGAGAAAUAAUAGCUGUGGUUUUCUUGGCUCUAGAAAUGCCUGCCAAUGGCGUUAUGUAUUGAACAUGACUAUGGCCUUUCCAUAAGUGGAGAGACAUUGCUCACGAUGGACAGCAAUAAACACUCCACUUUACUAUUACAGUGUCUGAAUGGCCUCAUAAUCAGAGCUCAUUGUCUCUUCUUUGCAUGGCCACAGUCUACUCCAUCGGGCUCAUAAGAAGGCAUGGAGCUCCAAGAGAAGAAACUUGGCACAGAAUCCCACCCCUGUGCCUCCUCCUCUACGAGCUAAGGAAGGCAUUCUCUAUGGCUCUAUUCAGGUCCGCAGGCAGAGAGCUUGGUCCACAGAGAGGCAGGCUUGCUGUUCAGGUGUCUCCUUCUCUUGCCAAGUCUUCUCACUCCAGUCUCCUCUUUAUCACACUCUAGAGACACCUACCUCCCUGGGAUUUACAUAAGCUGGAGCAAAGUGCUCUCCAGCUAAGAAUAUAACCACCGCCUAACCCUGGGCACUGUGCCUGGGAAGUGAGGAGACUGACUCCCUGUACCUCUGACUCAGUGAAGAGACAAAUGCAUGAGGAAACUACUGGAUUAAUGUUGAGGGGGAGGGGGAACCUGGUGUUUUUAGCACAGGACGGCAGAGCUUGCUUCUAAGAAGUCCUAGAGGGUAGAAGCUUCUAUUUAAGCUCCUUUUCUUGAAUGCCUCAGACAUCUUUGGCAGUGUAGGUUUUUAAGCAGCGAGUGAGGCACAGAGAAGAUGGCAGACUGAAACAGGAAAUGCCAGCAUACCAGCGGUGGUGCGCGCUGACCGUGGGGACUGGCUGGUUUUCUCACACACCAGAACCUCCCUCUGAAUUCCAGAGCAUGCCUCUGCUGAGAUAGCGGAAUGCUAAGACCUGUACUCCAGCAUCAUUUCAUCUGGGCAGAAAGAAACAGACGUGGCCUACUGCUGAACCGUGGCACGUGGCAGCCUCUGUGAGCAACAUGGGUCUCCCACCAGUGAUCUCUAGCUUCUCUUAGCUGUCCCUGGGAGGAAGCAUUUCCGUUUCUUAGCAUUAUGGCAAUGUCCCCUGAUAGGCAGUUUAGCUUUCUCUAGGUGGAGCUACUCCUGUCUCUGCUUCCAGCAAGAUCCCAGGCUUUGCUCAGGUUUUCUUACACCCAACAACUGAGACACAGGUCUAGAAAGGAGAAAUGUGUACAAACUCAGUAUCCAUCACUGACAGUCUGGUGUGUGCCAGUCCAGAGCUGCAGUUUGGGCGGUUUACUCCUGAGGCAGAUGCUUCUGGUUACAUAUCCAAUAGUCAUCCCUACUGUCCUUAGCGUCACUGUUGUGAUGAACCACCAUCACUAAGAACAGCCGUGGGGAGGAAAGGGUUUACUUAUGCUUACAUUCCAGGCCAAGUCCAUCACUGAGGGAAGAAGCCAGGACAUGAACUUCAGCAGGAACUGACGUAGAAGCCUUGCUGAAACAUUUCCUGUGAUCUGUGUCCAUCCAGGACCGCCUGGCUGCAACCGGCACUACUCAGAGCGGUGACUCUUGGUUGUGCCAAACUGACAAUAAAAGCAACCAGGACACUCACUUCUUCUUCCUUUCGGAUGGAAUCAACCUCCUACCAUAGGCGUUGACGUUGGCUUAUACAGAAUAUACACACUUCCUGGAAUGGCUGACUUUGUGACUCUCAGUCCCAGCUCUCACUAACUGUGACCUCUGGCAAGUCUUUUCUCUACCCUCCUCUCAUCUGUGAUUGGACAUAACACUUCCUGCUAGAAUCCUGCUCGACUCCUAGUCCCACCUAUCUUACUUCCCUAUUGGUCAACAGUGCUUUAUUCAACAACCAAUAAGAGACAGAUUUACAGAAUGACAUCUCCCAUCAGGUUGGACUUUGCUAUAGAUCAAGAGGAACAGAUCCUGUAUUGAAUAAAUGAUGUUGGACCAAUUACAUAGGAUUUAGAAAAACACAAAACAAAACAAAAAUCUUGACCUCUACAUAUCACAAAUGAAUCCCAGGUAGCCUGAAUGUGAGAAGGGAAAGACUUUUCUAGAUGUAUGACUGUGUGUCAUGCUGUUUGUUUGUUUUGCCGUGGCUUUGGGUAAGCAAAGCUAAAUGGAACAUUGCAAAGUACACACUGUAGUGAAGGUUGAGAGGUUAAACUGCGCAGAUGUUAGCACCUUUUGUUCAUCCAAGGGAGUUGUUAUAAAUCAGGAAAGCUCCCGGCAGUGGUGGCGCACUUGGGAGUGGGAGGCAGAGGCAGGUAGAUCUCUGUGAGUUCUGGGCCAGCCUGGCCUACAGAGUGAGUUCCAGGACAGCCAAGAAUACACAGAAAACCCCUGUCUCGGGGGAAAAAAACUGGGAAGGCACAGCACAGAGUGAGAAGAUGCUCUCGGCACAUACAGCAAGGGGCUCGUUCCAGAAACAGCCUUGUGCCAAGAAGAAAGAUAAUUUUGUUGUUGGUUUUUGUUUGCUUGUUUUAUUUUUUUGAGAACAGGGUCUCACUCUGUACACCAGGCUGCCUUGGAACCCACAGAGGUCCACCUGUCUCUGCAUCCCAAAUCCUGGGUUAAAGGCAUGGACUUCCACACCCAGCAAGUAAAAAGACUUUCAAAAAUGAAUAAGAGGUAUCUGGAAAGAUGACUCAACAGAUAAGUGCCCUGGCUGAUCUUCCAAGGACGCAGGUUCCAUUGUGAGCCCUCACAUGGCAGUUGACAACAGACUGUAGCUCCAUUCCCAGGGAUCCCACACCCUAUUCUGUUCUCAUCAGGGACAAAGCAUGAGCAUGACGCACAGUCAUACAUCCAGGCAAAGCACUCAUGCACAUAAAAAUAAUGAAGUAAUGGAAAGGAAAAAGACGAUUCCGCUGGACACUCAACAUCCAUAAAUUGUAAGGAGCUGACCUGGUUGUUUACUGGCCAGGGAUGCUUAACACCACCAAGAGACAACUCCCCACACUGCCAGAAAGAAGAUAAAAAGACGGAGAGUUCCAAGCAUGGAGCCACUAGACCUCUCGGAUCCACUUCUGGGAAAAUCGGAGAACUUCUGGUAAAGUUAAAAGACACAUGAUUAUAAUGUUAGGCUAACCACAUGCUGUCUCCCAUGUGAGAAGUGUUCGUGACUAUAAAACAGAGUGGACUAUGGGUUAGAACUUAGGGUAGUGCUUAUGUAGGGAGGAAGGGUAGGGCUCUAGGGAGGCUGCUGGUGGCCGGUCUGGGAUGCCUUCAUUUGAGAUGAUUUGUUAAGCAGUAACCAUUUAUUACUCAUCCCGUGUGCAUAUGUAAGAGGUGGUGGGUGCUGUGCUCUCCCUUCUUCUCACCCCCUUGUGAAUGCUGCCCACACUGGAAGGAACUUUUGUUCCCUAGCUAGCUCAGGGGUCAGCAUAGUCCAUGAAUGCAGUGGGUGUUUUGCAAGUCCAUCCUAAGAGUUCAGGGUAGGGCUCUGUUGUGCCAAAGCCAGCUGCUCUCCCGUUGAUUGACAGAGUCCAGUCCACGUCAGGGCUUCCCAGCUCACCAAAGCUGUGCCACGUUUACACUUCCACGAGAAGGGCCCCAGCCACCGGGUGGGCCUCAGCUCCAAAGCUGGAGUAUCUGCCCUUCUCUAUCCCAUAUCCGACUCCCACCAUCUGGAUGCAGCAUUUGGCAGGGAGCUAGAGAAAAAACCUGCUGGGACCACAAUACCCUGAGCAGGAGGCAAAAUCAAGCCUAGACUAGCAGAGAACUAUACUCUGGCUAAACACUAACUACUUUCCUAAUUGUAGAUGCUGAAACUGACAAAUGGCAUACACCUGUUGGUGUUUGAGGCGGAUUCAUUUGUUUAAUUAAAUUGUUAAUGGCAUCAACAUGUGUGAGCACCGUGCCUAGCUCCAGAUGGGAGCGCCCAUCGUUAUAAAGUUAAGCAAUAACAACAUUUUGAUUUGUGGGUGUGGUAUAAUUCUGAGAAAAAUAUUAUUUUAUGAGAACUAUUAUUGUAAUGUUUUUGUAUAUGUGAUCAAUAAUAACAAUAAACAUUAAAAUAAAAACCUGGGCCUAGAGAACUGGCUCAGCAGUUAAGAGCACGUGCUGUUCUUGCAGAGUAUGGGGAUUUGGUUCUCAAAACUCAGCACAGCCAUGUGUAAGUCCAGUUCUAGGGGAC